GAAUUGCUAGUAAUGGCAGGUCAGCAUACUGCCGUGAAUACGUUCCCGGGCCUUGUACACACCGCCCGUCACACCAUGAGAGUUAGGAAUACCCGAAGCCUGUGAGCCAACUUAUCCAAGAGGCAGCAGUCGAAGGUAGAACUAAUGAUUGGGGUGAAGUCGUAACAAGGUACC
rnacentral:rRNA from 1 species